GGGGUGGUGACUCAGUGGCAGAGAGCUUGCCUGGCCUGCAUGAGGCAAUGAGUUCAAUCCUCAGUACCACA
rnacentral:tRNA from 1 species